rnacentral:rRNA from 1 species
ACAUACGACCAUAGGGUGUGGAAAACAGGGCUUCCCGUCCGCUCAGCCGUACUUAAGCCACACGCCGGCCGGUUAGUAGUUGGGUGGGUGACCACCAGCGAAUCCCGGCUGUUGUAUGNN